GGCGGGGGCGGCUAGUUCACUUCUGAACCAGCUUUCAGGCCACGUGCAGGUACAUUCAGUGGGGCUGGCAGCUCAGUGACGGACUUUCUGGGGACAUGGGGCAGACAUUGGCCCGGCUGUUGGGCCAGGUGUGAGUGCAAGUGCAGCGGGACCACACAGCUCUGUCUUGCAUUUUCCAGGGAGUUGGGGCUACUGCUAGAUUCACUGUUGGCCUGGGUAUUGGUUUGCACAGGCACCAUGGGACUGGGUGGCUGCUGCAGUCUCUCCAGGAAGGCAGGGCCCCUUUCAGGCCAGGGGUGGGUGCUCGUGAAUGCCUCCAGCAGGGCAGCCAGGGUGUGGGGCUGGGCAGCUGUGCAGCACUUUCUGCAGUGAGGUGCGGUCUGACCAGAUUGGCUGCCAGGCCAGGAGCGAGCAGUGAAAGUACAGCGGGCUGGCUAGCUGCUCAAGGCCACGCCAUUGUGCAGAUCCAUAUGGGUACUCUCCAGUGCACUUCCUCAGUCACUCCAGGCUGAAAACCAGGGAUCAUGGUUAAAACCACUCUUUCUGUGUUCUAGCCUCCAGGCACUGGAGUCACAGCACAGUGGUUCCACUGCAUCCAAGGUACUCCAUUGUUACUGUUAAGUGAUGAGAAGAAAAAUUUUAAACUCCGUGACCUCAAACUCUCCAUCUUUUAAGAAGAAAUAAUAAUAAUAGUGACUAUAUUGUUGUCAUGAGGAUUCCAUGAGUUAAUAAAUAAAAUUAUUUACAACACUA